rnacentral:rRNA from 1 species
UGUUUCGGCUAGGGGGCCAUCCCGGCUUACCAACCCGAUGCAAACUGCGAAUACCGGAGAAUGUUAUCACGGGAGACACACGGCGGGUGCUAACGUCCGUCGUGAAGAGGGAAACAACCCAGACCGCCAGCUAAGGUCCCAAAGUCAUGGUUAAGUGGGAAACGAUGUGGGAAGGCCCAGACAGCCAGGAUGUUGGCUUAGAAGCAGCCAUCAUUUAAAGAAAGCGUAAUAGCUCACUGGUCGAGUCGGCCUGCGCGGAAGAUGUAACGGGGCUAAACCAUGCACCGAAGCUGCGGCAGCGACACUCAGGUGUUGUUGGGUAGGGGAGCGUUCUG